GCUGGGUGUGGUGGCGCCCGCCUGUAAUCCCAGCUACUUAGGAGGCUGAGGCAGGAGAAUCGCUUGAACCCAGGAGGUGGAGGUUGCAGUGAGCUGAGAUCGUGCCACUGCAUUCCAGCCUGGGCGACAGAGCAAGACUCUGUCUCAA
rnacentral:SRP_RNA from 2 species